rnacentral:lncRNA from 1 species
GGGAACAUAUUUUAUGGCAGGUAAAGAAUCAAUUGGUAGGAUUCUUGUUGGGAAGAUAGUGACCAUCUAGAGACUUAUUAUACUAGAAGUGAGAUGAUAGGAUGUUCUCAUUUAGUUCAAACAUUCAUCGCGUGCCAGCUCAGUAAUGUGGUAGGGGCUGGGACCUAGUAGGAAGUAGGGUGCUGGCAGUAAGCAGACUAAUUGAAUGUUUGUGUGGAGUGCCUGGAAAGACCAUGAUGACACAAACAAAAGCAGAACUCAGGGAAAAACUGAUCUAGAAGGAGCAUAAGUUUAAUCUAUGUUAGAAGUAAAUGAGUUUUUCUUGAGAGACUGUAUGAAGAGAAAAUCAAUUAAUAAUAAGAUUUAAUUAUGAAAAAAUACACACUACAAGGCAGUAAAAUGAUAGAGAUCCAAUGAAGAUGACAAAAAACUGCUGAUCAGAGAACUGGAAUAAGAACGAGAAUAGUCUAGAAUUCCGGGAUGCAAAAUAGGAGCGUUGCUAAGAGAAAGAUGUUGUUAACAGUGAGCACAGGUUAUUGUGAUGAGAAUUUAAUUGUAUUUGACAAUUAGGAAAGUAUUGGUGACAUGAAAAGAAUUUUAAUGGAAGGAAAAGUAUUUUUACCUUGCCAGGGUGUAAAGAAAGAACACACGCUAAAGAAUUAGGAGAAAUGGAUACAGCAGCACAUCAGAAGAUUUGGCAAUAAAAGGAAAGAAGGAAUGAGGUAUUGGCCAAAGUAGCAUCAAAGGAUAGAGGUUGCCUGCAUAUGUGGAAAAGGGAGGGAGAAAAGCCAGUGUGGAAAAGAAGAGAUUGAAGAUGGUGGGGAGAGAAGGAUGAGUAGAAGGUUCCAGACCCUAAGACAGUAGUAGAAGAUGAGUUUAAAACCUAUGUGGAAGGUUGGCAAGACGAGCAAGAGGAACAUCCCUUUGUUCAAGGUCAGCACACAAGGAAACAAAUCCCAAGACACAAGUGCACAGGUGAAGCUUUGGAGAGUAUUUACUAAGAACUGUACACCCAAGUGAGGUAAGUCACAGGAAGGUUUCCUUUUUUACCCCCUAGCUUUAUUGAGAUACAAUUGACAAACAAAAUUGUAAGAUAUUUAAAGUGUACAGUGUGAUGGUACACACACGUGUGUGUAUAUAUAUAAACAUUGUGAAAGGAUUCCCACCAUUGAGUUAAUUAACACAUCCAUCACCUAACAUAUUUACUUUUUUAUGAUGAGAACACUUAAGUUCUACUCUUUUAGCAAAUUUUAAUUAUACGAUACAGUAUUAUCAACUAUAGUCAACAUGUUAUACAUUGGAUCCUCAGACUUUAUUCAUCUUAUAACUGAAAGUUUGUACCUUUUUACCAGCCUCUCCUUAUAUCCCCUACCCUCCAGCUCCUAGCAACAACCAUUCUACUCUCUGUUUCUAUGAAUUUCACUUUUCUUUUUGAUUCCACAUAUAGGUGAUACC